rnacentral:rRNA from 1 species
GCAGCAGCCGCGGGAAUGCGUAGGGUGCGAGCGUUAAUCGGAAUUACUGGGCGUAAAGCGCACGCAGGCGGUCUGACAAGUCAGAUGUGAAAUCCCCGGGCUUAACCUGGGAACUGCAUUUGAAACUGUCAGGCUGGAGUCUUGUAGAGGGGGGUAGAAUUCCAGGUGUAGCGGUGAAAUGCGUAGAGAUCUGGAGGAAUACCGGUGGCGAAGGCGGCCCCCUGGACAAAGACUGACGCUCAGGUGCGAAAGCGUGGGGAGCAAACAGGAUUAGAUACCCCGGUAGUCCCUGUCUCUUAUAC